UUGAGAAUAUAUCAUGGUAUAUGUUGGGGAAAAAUGUGUUUUAGAAGUUCUCUCUCUCCUGGAAUGUGUUAAACAAUUGUCCCUCCUCAAAUGUCUAUGGAGGAAGCUAAAUCUAAUCCUGUGUGGGGUCAUGUGGAAAGGUCACAACCCAGGCUCUCAUGGGAAAAAGGUCACAACCAAGGGGUCUUGAACUGAGCUUGAACCUAGCAGAAUAAACAAGCCUUCGGGGUGUCUCAACUUCCUCUAAUAGGUAACAGAUGGACUUUGGAAUGUGGAUUCUCUCUGAGAUCUAUAAAGGUUGCAGUCUUGCACUGAGACAGCAGCAGUUAUUUCUGACGGCCUUGAGAGAAGGCUCAGGGAUCCUGCUCCAUUCAGCUGAAUGUUUUCAUGACUUGUUUGUUAUUUAGCGUUUGGUUGAUGACUUGUAAACUUGUUACUAUAAUAAAGUGUUAUGGGUCAACCAUGCUUAAACUACUUUUGAUCUCUCACAAGGUAAAGGAACACUUAUUUCCACCACAAAAUGGCGACGAGGAUGCGAUGGACGCGCUUGACGGGGACUCCGGCUGAACGGCAGAUGGCCAUAAUAUAGAUGAAUCCUCCCCCGAGGGUGAGAAGCUGCCGUUCAGACGGAGACCGGACGGCCGAUCCAAUCUAGUUGAAAAACUAUGGACAACACGCGGUGAGAGAUCCAAUUUAUUUUAAAACAAAAAGUCAUGAAACAGGGAAAAUAGAAAAAUCUCACAAUCAGGGUUGUUAACAGACGUGUUUUGGAAACUGUUGGGUUCUCUAGUGGUUUGCAUGCACCAGUUUUGGCGCACACUUCUCAGGGAAAACAGUUAGCAGUUUUUAGAGAUAGCAGCGGUCACUCAUGACUUGCCUUGGUCAUUCAUGUGUAUUGUUUAGAGUGAACGCGUCUGGUGAUGCCUGAAAAAUUUAUUGACGCACACGUCGACGUAAUACACGAAUGACUAGAAAUGGGUAGUGCUCAGAGAAGAGGGGAGACUAGUUGGAACCAUGUCGUCCCGAUCCUUCCGACCCUGUGUGAAUUUAUGUCAGAACAUUAUCCGGGCAGUUUAGAUCAAAUGCAAAAAUGGAUAGAAGUUGGUUUUCCUUCAAACGGAAGUUUGAGCGAGAAUCAAUUAAAACAGUUGGAGGUGCAACUGAGGGAGAUGGAGAUGAGCGCGACGGCUCAGCAUGCAGCCUUAUCAAAGAAAAAGCAGAAGAAUGUGAUAUUUAAGGCAGACUGGGAAGCCUUUGGAAUGUGGGAAUUUGAGUUUAAAAAAAAAAAAAAGGGAGAGACAGAGAUUGAAAGCAUUUAAUUAGCUAAAUUCCAAAAAACCUACGAAGAAUGUUAACAAGUGUCAUUGCAUUCACCCAAAUACUGUGUAUCCUUGUCUUUCUGAGGUACUGAGAGAAUCGGUGGCUCCAGACCUGGAUUCCGCCCCCCCCUUUUGCUCCGCCAGCCUGCUUGCAGCAGCCUUCUCAGUCAAAUGCAGCUUCAUCGGACACAGUCCAAGAGGGACACAGACUCUGGAACAAUGCAAAGACCAUCUGAAAGAGCGUUUCGUGAGCGGGACGAGACCAAACUCCUGCAGAUGGUGAGAAAAUCAUAUGUUCCACUAACAGAUGUCCUAAAGCACGCUGAACAUGCUAAGGCGGAGUUGCACAGAAAAGAGAUGCUUGCAAUGAUCAACACGCUCGCAAGGCAACUACGGAAUAUUCCCACAUGGCAACUUGGGAGGACAAGAGGUCGAGGCAGAGGCAGAAUGGAUCUGAAGAUAUGAUUCAAGUGUGUGCUACAACUGCGGAGGGCAUGGACACUGGCGAACAGAGUGUCCGGAGCCCAAAAAGGAAGACCCGCUUUCGACACGGCUGAGCGGAGGGAGGCGGGGGAGGGGCGGAUCCCAGAGACGGACAACCCUCUCCAGGACAAACAAGUAAGGCACACUACACAAGAAAAACAAAAGAAGCAAACUUUAACAUUGAUUUUCUAACCAUCUUUAAAGAUGUUUUGACUCAGGAGUAACAAUCUUAUUUGUAAAAUUGAAAUUCCCAUUAUUUUAGGCUAUAAGAAAUAGCUCAAAACCACUCUGUAGCGAAAAGAGUGAAAAACUAAUAUUAGACCAGGGAGCUUCAGUUGCUCAUGAUCUUUUCACAUUGCAUACAGUACUGCAGCAGAAGGUUACAUGCCAUUAUUACAUUGUCAUGUAAACAUAGGAAGUAAACAGAAGGUUUGAGAGAAUGUAGAUUUGAAAUAGAAGUAUUGGUGAGAGAGGGCUGCUGUUGGGUCUGUCUGUGUGUCUCCCUCCGUCUCAGGAAAUGUGCCUUGGAGCUGCCCUGCAUAUAUCACUGACAGACUAUCGCACUGGGAAGGGCGAGGAUCUGGGUCCAUGUUUUGCAAUACGUCUCGGCCUUUCAAAAGAAACAACGACCGGGUGCUGAGAAACCUAGGGACUAGCGCUAUUGGUAAUGUUUUAAACUACAUUGACCAUCACAGUAAGUGUACACGAAUAAAAAACAAAGAGAAAAAAAAGAAGGAGAAACGUAAUACACGGGGACCAGAAUGUCUAAAGGGUUGUCAUGAAAGACCAGGCAUGUCCCAGAGACUGCUUAGUGAAAACUUUGGAAUUCUAUAGACGAUGUAUUAGUUUAUAUAAUAUUAUAUGUAUGUAUUGUAUUAUAUGAUGAAUUACAGCCAUCAAAGGAGGCUUGUAAAAUUAACAAUAUCUAAACAUUUGGCAGAUAAUGGACAUAAAACUAGUCUACAAAAAGAAAAAGGAAACAUCAAUGUGCACUAAAACGAGUAAUUUAUCUGGGACAUGUGAUCACAAGAGACGGCAAUUUCCUCUCUCCCAACUAGUAUUGUGGUAGUUCAAUCACUACCAAAACUAAUUAAGAAGAAACAAAUUAUGUUUUUUUAAAUUAUUUUUUUAGGAACGACGUCAUACUACAGACAGUGGAUCCCAAAUGACUUAGAAAGAGAGGCACACCUCUCGUCCAUGGUAAAGGCCUCAGUGAACAUGACUGACUGACUUAGACUAUAAAAGCAAAAGACAGAAGAGAACUUAAAGACUUCCUUACUACAGGCCCGACCGGGGCCUGCCGAGACCAAACUUGAUAUGUAUUUUAUACAUAGACCGAAAUGACUGUUACAUGAACCCCAGUUGUGUCAGCCUCAUGGAGGAAACUUAGGCCUGUGUCCGACUUCUCCUCGACAUGACUUUGUUGUCACAGGUCUUCCUCUCUGUUGCAGCAGCUGAAGAAGCCAUGGAUUAACAUCACGGGACAUUGUGGGCUAUUCUGAUGUCACACUUAUAGUCCCGCAUGCAGUUUCCCACAUCUUCCAUGCCAGAAGACUUCUCACCUCUCUGCUCAGAGAUGGUUCAGAUAUCAUGUUGGAAUAGCGUGACAUUACGGUAUUGCAACAGACAUGCAUCCCGAGACCUGAUCUGUUGGACACACCUCCUUCCAAUGCAGAUUCAAGCUAUCUGUAGCUAUCCAGCUCACCCAUAACGGGGCAGCGGUCAGGUUGUAUGUUACAUCACAUCACACACUUGUUGGUGUCAGGCUUACUGCACACCGAUCAGUACAAGCAGCAGAGCUGAUUGCUCUCACAGAGGAAUGUAAGGUAGCUAAAAAGGUCAAACUAACAAUUACACAGGUUCACUUCAGGUAUCUGGAACGUACAUGACCUUGGGCCUCUGUGGAAGACACAGAGGAUUUCUAACAGUGGCAAACCUAUGCACACCACACGGUGGGUUUCAGCUGUUUCCAGUCGUUAAAUGUGAAGCUCACAUCUCUUCUUUUGACCUGUGUCAAUAGUAAACAUAGUGGCAGAUCUGGUGGCAAAGGCGGCAGCCUUAUCAGGCACCCCUUUUCCCCACAUAGACUGAUUCCAGUCCUUAGGCAGAUCUUUCCACAAUUCAUUCUUUUGCCAAUGCCAGGAGCGCUCCCUAUGGAACGCUCUGGUGCCACUCUUUGAGUCGAGGGUUUGACAGCCCAGACGGCAAGCCUUGUUUGCCACGCGCUCUCUUCCAUACUUCUAGAUUUUCUCAUGGAGGAGACCACGUGGGCAAAGGGGGAAUGUGUAAUGCUCUAAGUGCAAGUUCAUACACCAGAGCAUUUUCAACAUUUGCAAUAAAUAACAACAGCAGGGUCACCGCCCUGCAGAUACACUUUUUGAACAGUUAGUAAUGUAUUUUAAAUCUCAACGUUUUAACAUCAGGCAUCAUUGUUCUUAUCAUCCUCAAUCAGCUGAUUGAGUUGAACGAGAAAGUGGUACUAUUAAAUCUAAACUAGCGAAAUGUUGUGACGAGACAGGCCUAUCUUCAGUGAAGGCACUUUCCGCGAGUGCUUUUUCACAUGCGCAUGCGAAUACAGCAUGCUAAGAUAUUGUGCCAACCUAUCAUCCUCGCUCUCAGCACUUCACACACAGGUGAAAUCUACACUUCCCUCACCAGCCACUGCGGUCCAGCAUCACCUGAAACCAGGAGACUGGGUGCUCAUCAAGGAUCACAGGAGGAAGCACGGGAAGCAGAGACACUACCCGGGUCCCUUUCAAGUACCCCGACAACGGAGACGGUGGUGAGAGUGGAAGGAGAACGACGUAGGUCUACGCCAGCCACUGCAAACACAUCCCAGAUCCAGAAGGAGAAGGAGCAGCUGCUACAGGUCCGGACUAGAGGGGAAGGGUGAGAAAAGCGAGCGCCUUCCUCCAUCAAGUAGCAUGCCAAGCUACCAACAAGCGCACCCUUUAGCAGUGAAGUAACCGAACACCUCACUUAUUUUGUGUGGCUGGGGAGAAACCCGAGUUUCUCAAACUGCAAAGCUGUCAUACAGAAAUCAGUGUGGUAGGAGGUGAACUCAUGUGAAAAGGUGACGCCACCCAAGAAACAGUGAUGGAAGAAAGAUCUCCAGCAUCAGGACACUCCUUUGAGGAGCACGGGUGCAGCCAGAGCAAAAGCAUGCACUCACUGCUCUCUCUGAACCACGACAGCAAGGAUACUGUUCCUGAACUUUGAAUUUCAAUUACAAGACAUAAACGGCAAAGAUACCAGCCCGUUUCAUCUCACGAAGAAGUGGCAGGAAUUGCCCAACAGGACGAUGUGUUCCCUCUCCUCAAUAGAUUGAUAUGUUAAUAUGGACGAACAACUUCGUCAAAUAGUAUGUGAGUGGUGUUAAGUGGCCUACCAGCAGGUCAGUAAAGCACAGCCGAAACCAGCACCUAUUGGAAACAUGUACUUUUAAGCCCAACACAGGUUCUAUUCGAUUAGAAAAUAGGUAUACAGAGCAUACCUUGAGUAAAUAAAUUCAAAGUCAAGCAUUCAUCUUGGACAAAAGCAUAAUUGUACUAAAUCUUUAACUAAGACCAGACCUAGAGGUGAAGAUUCACCAAACCCAAACCAUCCAUUCUGAUCUAUUCUUUGACUAAUGUCAGCUGUCAUGUUAAUUUCUACGUGUUAGGAUAACUAAUUUGAGAAUAGUGUGUAACUAAACAAGAUCAGUACAUAGUGGGUAUUAGUAGACAAAAACCAUACUUUGCACUCAGAGGUUAAUGAUGUAAUGUCUUGAAAUCUUUGGGAAUCUACCUCACUGAUGUAUGUCCUACAAAUGGUUAUAUACUAACUUUUGACUAUCAUUUUUCAGUUGUUAAAAUUGUCAAGAAUGACAAAAAGAGUGAGAUGUUGGGGAAAAAUGUGUUUUAGAAGUUCUCUCUCUCCUGGAAUGUGUUAAACAAUUGUCCCUCCUCAAAUGUCUAUGGAGGAAGCUAAAUCUAAUCCUGUGUGGGGUCAUGUGGAAAGGUCACAACCCAGGCUCUCAUGGGAAAAAGGUCACAACCAAGGGGUCUUGAACUGAGCUUGAACCUAGCAGAAUAAACAAGCCUUCGGGGUGUCUCAACUUCCUCUAAUAGGUAACAGAUGGACUUUGGAAUGUGGAUUCUCUCUGAGAUCUAUAAAGGUUGCAGUCUUGCACUGAGACAGCAGCAGUUAUUUCUGACGGCCUUGAGAGAAGGCUCAGGGAUCCUGCUCCAUUCAGCUGAAUGUUUUCAUGACUUGUUUGUUAUUUAGCGUUUGGUUGAUGACUUGUAAACUUGUUACUAUAAUAAAGUGUUAUGGGUCAACCAUG